AAGUCUCCGUUGGUGAACCAGCGGAGGGAUCAUUA
rnacentral:rRNA from 1 species